CCUCCAGCCCCGCCCCUGGAUCCCAAGCACCCGCCUCCCUCUCCCCACCCCCGCCACGCCUUUUUUGCCUUUGUGCGUACGCAAAUGACAGGCGUCCUUUUUUACCAUCUAAACAAGAGAAACUCCUGAAAUAGAAAGAAUCCAAGUUUCUUCCCACCUGUGGACUGACCUACCACUUUCAAAAGGAUAUGUUUUACAGUUAAAAAGGCAGAUGAUAUGUUUCUGGCAACACAAAAGGCCAGAUCAGACCAGAUUAAAAACAGAUGAAUGCAGGUUUAUUGGUUGUGGCCUCCAGGGUGGAUUUACUGGUCCCAGAGAACAGGAGCCAGAGAAGCCACACGCCCAGACUAAGAAAAAGGGAAUAUUUGAUACAAUGUUUUACUUGAUGAAAUCUCCUCUUUGGGAUCUGCCAUCAGAACCUUGGCCCCCCACCCACCAGAAGAGAGACUUGCUGGCAGUUCAAACAAUUCAGCAUUUGCCACCAUCGGGGCUUUGGCUCCACACCCACUUGAGAGGCCUACCUGCACCCACUGGAAGAAGAGAUGGGAAGACAACAGUAUAAGAACACAGUCAACAACAGAAAGACUGAUACGGCAGCACCAGAGUCUAAGGCUUCUACAUCAGCAAGACCUGAACAUCCCAAUGCAGAUGAAGCAGAAGAAAAUGACCU